rnacentral:rRNA from 1 species
CAUGCAAGUCGAACGGGAAGAGAUGAAGAGCUUGCUCUUUAUCGAAUCCAGUGGCAAACGGGUGAGUAACACGUAAACAACCUGCCUUCAGGAUGGGGACAACAGACGGAAACGACUGCUAAUACCGAAUACGUUCCACGGGCCGCAUGACCUGUGGAAGAAAGGGUAGCCUCUACCUGUAAGCUAUCGCCUGAAGAGGGGUUUGCGUCUGAUUAGGCAGUUGGUGAGGUAACGGCUCACCAAACCAACGAUCAGUAGCCGGUCUGAGAGGAUGAACGGCCACACUGGAACUGAGACACGGUCCAGACUCCUACGGGAGGCAGCAGUGGGGAAUCUUCCGCAAUGGACGAAAGUCUGACGGAGCAACGCCGCGUGAGUGAAGACGGCCUUCGGGUUGUAAAGCUCUGUGAUCCGGGACGAAAGAGCCUGAGGUAAAUAGCCUGAGGAAGUGACGGUACCGGAAAAGCAAGCCACGGCUAACUACGUGCCAGCAGCCGCGGUAAUACGUAGGUGGCAAGCGUUGUCCGGAAUUAUUGGGCGUAAAGCGCGCGCAGGCGGCUUACUAAGUCCAUCUUAAAAGUGCGGGGCUUAACCCCGUGAUGGGAUGGAAACUGGAAAGCUGGAGUAUCGGAGAGGAAAGUGGAAUUCCUAGUGUAGCGGUGAAAUGCGUAGAGAUUAGGAAGAACACCGGUGGCGAAGGCGACUUUCUGGACGAAAACUGACGCUGAGGCGCGAAAGCGUGGGGAGCAAACAGGAUUAGAUACCCUGGUAGUCCACGCCGUAAACGAUGGAUACUAGGUGUAGGAGGUAUCGACCCCUUCUGUGCCGGAGUUAACGCAAUAAGUAUCCC